AUUCAGAUGCUGCCUGACCACUUGGACUCACAGUGCAGCCUAGGACUUCACUGACUGUUAUAAACUGAUAGCAUCCCCCUUCCAAAGAAGACCUUCCUAGUCCUGUAAGCACUGAUCCUAAGCUGCUUUUCCAAUGCUACUUUGCCAUUGGGUGAAGCAAAAUGUCAGAUAAGCUUACUAGCAAAUGUGCCUCUGAGCACAGCCCACUUCUGCAUCCCCAAGACGGCAUCCUUUGUGCUCUGCUGAUGGUGGAGCCAGAAGCCAUGUGAAGUUUGGCCAGAGCCUCUCAGCAGGAGCACCUUGGAGAUUUGCCUUGGCAGGAGGGCUCCUUACCAUGGCUAACACGAGGACAGCCCUGUCCUGAAGAAAAGGCAAUGCCAGUCACCUGCACCUGGCUCGUUGAAAGCGCGUCCCUCUGUGAGCACGGGCGCUGCACGAGCUUCAUGUCUACCUCUCUGUCCAGGAGCCACCCGUUGUUCUUCAGCUUCAGGUCACUGGACCUAAUAUUGAUCAACUAAGAAGAUUCAUAAAGUGAAGAGCAAGGCUGCAUGCCACCAAGAAGCUGUGCGGCAUCCGAAAGGCGUGCCGCCACCAUUGUGUGGCAUAGUGCCUGACUGGAGCUUGCUGCAAGGAUGAGUCCUGAGUACUCACUGUGUCAUGAGAAACCUGGAGGCCUUAUUUGUUCACAGCAUGACUUUGAUGGACAGCACCCCUGCUUCCUGAGCAUCUUAACUUCCAAUAAAAUGGUCUUGAAAGGGAAACUGGGAGCUAGAUCAUCAGGAAAUUGAAAGAGCUUGGAAAGAAGAUUUCUUUUCCAUAAAGCAAUCACUUUCUCAUACUAGCUGUGUCCCAAGGUUCAAUCACUUACUAUUUAUGUGGGUAUGAAAUAACACUGAUGAAGUAGCCUUUUUAAUCUGUCAUGAAUCAUUUGACAAAGACUUCCUAUUCAACUUGCAUUGUCUGGACCACACAAUGUUGUUGCUGAAAUGAGCAGGUGCCAUUGCUGCUACAAAGAACAAUGACAAACUGCGGACUUGGGGCCAACACCAGACUGCGUGAGAGGUGGUGACCUUUGUACGUUUUUUUUUAUUCACAGAGAAUCAGCAACCCUCCUUUCCUGAGUGAGUACCUGGCAGUCAUCAAGAUCCUCAGAAAAGGAGAAGAAAAUGGAGAAACUUAGGAGAAGAAAGUAAAAGGUGACAGACAAGGAAAAUCGAGCUGUGAAAUGCCACAUUCAUCUGUCCUGGGUCAGGUCGUUGGUUUAUCUUUCUCCUCCCUGCUUCCUUCCACCCUCCCUCCCUCCUUCUGUCCCUCCCUCCCUCUCUCCCUGCUCCCUCCAGGCCACAGUCAUGACACGAUUAUAGCACUGCGAUGGUACCAGGUAGACAGACACUAAAGAUCAAUUUUCUCACUGAUACCGAUCUCCAAAUUUUAGGCAUAUGCCCCAAAUAUCCCCAUCUUUCAUUUAGCAGUGGGGACUUUCAGGACACAUAAAUUAGCUCAGCUUUUCACAAACGUUUUCAUAAUGAGCAAAGCAUCAAAGCCAAGCUUCUGCCAGAAUCAGAGAGAGAGAGCAAAUGAGCUUAACCCCCUAUUCCACAGCUUACUAGCUAUGUGCCCUUGGGCGAUUUCCUUUGUCUCUCUCAGUUUGCCUCAUCCGCAAAUGGGAAUCUUAACACUCUAUUACUUCUCUUCCAAAAUGACUUAGAUCAAUGGCAGGUUUUUAAAUUGAUGUGCAUAUGGAAUGUGUGGUAUUUGUUUUUGCCAGAUGAUAUUAUCAAUUAUAAGACCGAUCCCAAUUUCAGAAAUAUUAAAAUGUACCACAUGUCUAAAAAAUAGAGGAACUACGUAGCAUCUUCCUGGGCUUAAAUGAACCAAGGGCUGCAAAGCGAUUUGCACUGAGCUUGGCAUGUAGCAAGGGCUCCGUGAGUGAGGGCCGCUCUUACUAUUAUUCUCAGGAUAAUUAGGAAGGAUGUAAUUAUGACAUUACAAAAGUUAGGCCAUAUCUGUUAGGAAUUUACACAGUGAGCUUUGAAGCCAUGGAAACUCCUAAAUGAAACUUCCUGUGUUACCUGUUUCUGAGGACACUGCAAAAUGUCACCAAAGCCAGAACUAAGCUUUCGAAGGAAAUUGUUGAAUUUCAAAAUUUGUUUUUAUUCAUAGAUUAAUGCUCCACAUGCUGGGUUGCUGUAGUAGCACAUCAGUGGUAACAACUCUUAAAAUAUAUUUGCUUCCAUUUAAUUAAAGUCGGCCGUGAGGAAUGUAUUCACAAGUGUUGGCCAAGUGUGUGAUUCUUCUGGGGAGUCCUUCAGUCAUUGGCUUAAGUAAGAAGGGGUCUGUGCCACAGAAUCUUCUGGGGCCAGGCCAUCACUGAAAACACGUUUUCCACGACCCAGCCUCUGCAUUCUCUGCUGGCAAGCCCACAGACGCCGAAGACAGGGCUCAGAAACACAACGCAGCUGCCAAAUGGCUUCCCUUCCUCACUGCUUUAUGUUCCCGGGGCCAAAUGGGCCUCAGAACAGACCUGAAAAUCUGUGAGAUGGAAACCGGGAACUGAGCGGUCCCGUGCAGAAAAGAGGCUCCGAGUGUUUACACAACAUCCCCAGGACGUACUGCACUUUCCAGGGCGAGUGUCUUUCCAAAACGCCUGCAGACCCAGCCUGCGUCAGGCACAGCUCCAACUUUCCUGCAAAAAUCGCCUUGCAGGGCCCUUCAUCCUCCUCUCAGUUCAGAAAUGGGGCUGGAGAGUUUCACACACGCAGCCCAGAUAGGCACACGUGUGGGAUCUUGCUGUGUUGCAAUCUCAUGGGGGUAAAACGGCUGCUGAAAUUGGGUAGUCACGGACUUUGGAUUUUUAGAGAAUACCCAAUUCUAAUCCUAAUGGGAAUGAGGAUGACGAUGAUGAUGAUUCUGUGAAGUAGCGAGCUCCAUUUCCCUCACGGUUCAGACCGAAAACCAUCUUUCUUUCCAGAUACUGCAGUGGAACCCUAGGAAAUCAUGGUGUUUUGUGAAAAGCUCCUCAGUCUGUGGGAUGAACCUGGAGCUCCGACAAGGAUAGCUCCAGGCUUCUUUUCAAAUCCUCUGGAGAGGGAAUGUGUGCGAGAGGAAGUCGGGGGGAAGAGCAGAGACAGAAAGAUGUAAAUCACCGUCACUUCAUAAAACGGAGUUUUCUUGUAAUAUGCUUUGGUAAUGUUGAGCUGAAAAUAGAUUGACAAUCAAAAUGGGCUUAAUCUGAUAUUAAAGAAUUCUCUUAAAAUCCCCCAAACAAUUGAGAUUUUUUUUUCCCUUUGGUUUGUUUUGCGUUAGCUCUUCCAAGAGGCUGUGGAUGUAAAGAAAUAUAUUGACAUUAA
rnacentral:lncRNA from 1 species